GGCAAGUCAUUUGUUCUAUAAACGACUAAUUGGACAAUUAUUUCCGUCGCCGUAGGACAAUACAGAACCUUGAAAUGAGCUUCGAACAUGUGUUUUAGAUUCAUUGAAGAUAUUGCUCGUGAUGACACGGCUUAUACUUUUAUGCAGCAACGUCACUGCAUAAGACGUACAACCCCUGAUUCAUUUAUUUGUUUAUUUAUUUAUUUAUUUAUUUAUUUAUUUAUUAUGUGCCAGAUAAAGAAGCAACUACACUGCUUCCCAUUAUUCAACAUGUUCGUCCUGGAUCCAUGAUCCACACUGAUGGUUGGGCCUCUUACAAUGGCAUUGCUGGAAUGAAUGUACAGCCAGCAUACAUCAUCACACUGUCAACCAUUCAGUCAAUUUUUGUUGAUCCUGUUACAGGUGCAUGUACGAAUCAGAAAAUUAUUGGAGGAAAGCCAAACAGAAGUUUAAAGUAAUAGGUAUGUGACAUGCAACGAGAUUUUGUUGAUAGCCAUCUGGAUGAACCAGUGGAGAGGAAGAUUUGGGAUGACUGAAAUAUAUGCCUUUAACAGUAUUUUACUCCACAUUAGUCAGUGGUAUCCAACUCGGCCUAAUUAUGUCACGAUACCCUUCUCACAACGUAAAAGUGAUCAUAUCUCGCAUGGAGAGAGAAAGAGAGGACACGCACACACGAUGCAUGUCUAGAGGACGUCAAAAUUGAUGUCAACGAAACACUGGUAACCAGGAGGAAAUGUAAGUGGGCGUAAUACCCAAUAGAUACUGGCUGCUCGAGGGCACUGAACGAGACUCGAAAAUUCGUGAUGCCUCUUUUAAGGAACGACGGUGCAGUACUUCCCAGCAACAAGGACAACGUGAGUCCUUUCAUAAAAAAAAAAAAAAAAAUAAAAAAAAAAAAAAAAAAAAAAAAAAAAAAACCAAGCCUGGGUCGGUUAUCUACAGCAACUGUUUGGAGGCUUACAAUACUGAACAGGAAGAAUUCAUCCAUCUGUCCACAAACCACAAUGGCAACCUGGUUUGUCUUGAUAAUCGCGUAGUUUACACAUCGAAACUGCGAAGUUAUAUCCUCGAAGCUCCAGUGCACUGCCUCCCAGACGGCGCAGCUGUGCCAUAACCAAACCACUCGACCACAGGGGCAAAGGAUCUCUGGGAUGGCAGCCACGUGCUACACCAGUGGACUCCUGCACAUUGAGAAAUGAGCUACAUCUCAGCAGAGGCUUACAAGUGGCAUCAUGAAAUCACCAGUGAACCAACAGCCACCUGUGGAUUAUGAGUUACUGAGCUACACAUGAUGCUACUUGGCAAAUGUUUGGUUUGUAUGAUAUUGUAUAUACAAUGUUAAGGAACAUUGGUGAGGGUGCCGCAUAAACUGUUCUUUCUUAUAACCUAGAAUUUCUAGCUCAUGCAAGUUUUGAGAGUCAGGAGUAAGAGUAAGUAAGCUGCAAUUAGGAAGUAGGAGUUACAAGAAAGCAAGUCAGAGUUAGGAGGUUGGAGUUACAAGGAAGCAGUAUAUCAAAAAGUACGACCCAACCACCAACAUGGUGUAGCUUUUUAGUGAUGUUGCACUUCAUAUCAAAACUUGAAAAGGAAUAACUUUUAUUUAAUGCACACCUAUUUUAAUUUUCACAUUGACAAUAAGUGCCUUCAUAAAAUACAGUGGUGUUGAGGCUCUUGCGGAGGAGUUGUCAACAUUUCCCUCCCAUUGAAUUUUGAACUGGAUUUUUGUUAGUUGACACAAUUGCAAUACUAAGUCAUAGUCAUUUAAUGUCUGUGACUUGUGGUGUGGCAUUCCUUUACUGUAAUUGUCACUGUUUCACUGUAACAUUGACACAUCAGUAAGUUAUUCCUUCUUGUGAACACUUCUUAAUGGACUCGACUUCUUCAAGACAGAAGAGCUUCUAUAUAUUGCUCUUAUAACGUGCUAUACUGUCAAGUCAAGAUGUUCCUUCAGCUUGAGUACAACAUAACUGAUUGAAAAGAAUAUCACACAAGAAAUCAUUAAAGUCAAUUAAAUCUUCCCAAAUUCAAGAUCAAAAUCAAGAUAUCUGUGCAGUAAGAUUUUUAUUUAUUUAUUUAUUUAUUUUAUUUAUUUAUUUUUGAGAAAUUAAAGUGCCACUUGUUUUAAGCUUUAGAAAUUAACUAAGAAUGCAGUAUAGAAAUGUUUUGAUGUCAAUAUUUUUAUUUAUCUAUUUAAUCAAGCAAUCUUUAUAUUUCAUAUGUUCCAUGACAAAAUCUCAGGAUUGUAACAGGUGAGUGUGUGGCCGUCUUGAUAAAGUCAGUGGGCAGUGAUGUAAUAAGUGUGAUCUUACUAGAUUCUGCUUGACUGAGUCACAACCAUACAAGUUUUUAAGUUAUGUAGCAAUGCAUAGACAUACUUUUGUAGAGAUGUCAGCCUGGUACAAAGAUAGAAGAUAAUUAAAGGCUGGUUGAUGUAUAGGAGAGCCUAUUAGGGGAAAACCGGACAUCAGCGAACAGCAGUGAAGGACUAACAACCCUUUUCUUCAAAUGAUGGCAGGAAGUGUGUAACUGUUGGGUGUACCAACCACUUCAUAAUCAGUGUGUGGCUCCAGUACCAAAGUAGAGAUAGGGAAAAAAUAAAUAAAAUCAUGAGCUAGAAUAGUUUCAAAUGGUGACAUAUAUGAAUAUUUUGAAAUUAUUUGAGAGCUUAAAUAGAAAUUGAUUCAGCACAGUCAUAUGUUACCAGUGUUUAGUAUUAAACUUAUCUGACUGCUAGGCCAGAAAAUACAAGUUUUGGGUAUUACUUGCAAUAUUAAUAAUUGAAACUCUGCAUUCAAGAAUACAUAGGCAUUCCUUUAACAAGAUCACCCUUCUAUUUUUAGAUCUGCACACGCUAGAGAAUAAAGGUGCUUUAUGAGUAACAGUGUUUAAUGUGUGCACUGUAAAUCUGAUGACCUAUGUCUGACUUGCCAACUGAUUUACUUAAACUAAUCCUCGUGUCCAUUUAUGUCACUUUUCUUACCAUAUUUAAUUCUCUAUCUCGCUCCCUAAAUAAUCUGUCCCCUCACCAAGAAUACACACAGCCAUCACGUCCAUAUCACUCGUCACACAGACAUUCCUCCCUCCCACAGCCUGUACACAUUCACCCUUUUCCUCUCCUCACACUGCUCUCUCCCUUCCCACUCCAAACAGGCCUCCAGAGAGCAUCAUGAGGCCUGUGGAGGGGCUAUCACUGCGGCCUCCUCCUCAUAGUUCUCCGUUUUCAUAUCGUUGAGGCCGAGCUCUUCGUUCUGUUCAUGUGUGCGUUCGUACUCCUCAAUGGUCAUUUGAGGGUCGUCGUCUGGGGCAUACAGGUUCUGCAGGUAGUUGUUCCCAGCUGGGUCAUCCAUGAUGAAGGUGACCUCUCUCUUGCCUUUGAUCACCUAGGUGUGGAGACAAGGAAGGGUGACAGCUUGCUACAUUGAUAUCUUGGGAGUAGCCAGUUUACUAUGUACCUAGAGAUUCACAAGCAUUCCCUCUCACCUCAACCUCUUGGCUGUAAUGGAGAGCCGUAGAGGACAUUAUCAAGGAUCUCCUGGUUGUCCUUCCUGGAUGCGUCCCCGGCCAAGAAGGGAUUGCUCUCCAGGUCCUCCUUGAUGUCCUUAAGCAAGCCCUCCAGUGUGGUGAAUCUGCAGUGCAACUCAGUAAAAACAUACAAGAAAUGCAAAAGUUAUGUAUCUCUCUUGUUUGUACUUUGUGUGUAUGUGUUGUAUUGAUGAAGAGUUGUUGGAUAGAGUUGUUUACCAGUUAUAUAGUAGUAGUAAUGGGUAAGACGAUAGUAGUAGAUCUCUCGUUUUUACUGCAUAUUGUGUGUGUGUGUGUGCAUUGAUGGAGACUUGUUGGAUAGGACAGUCAUUUACCAGUCCUGUGUUAUAAUAGUAAUAGAUAAGAUAGUUGUAAAAGUGAUUCAUUCAUUCACACCUGUUUAUAUUUGCAGAAGUCAGGUAAAUUCCACUACUGGACGAUUAUUUUUGUUACCAAGAUGAUAUAGUGAAAGCUGCAGUGAUGAGGAUGGACAGAUAUAGUGAAAGCUGCAGUGAUGAGGAUGGACAGAGCAAGAAUAACAUUGUAAGAAGAUACAGAAGAGAAAAAAAUCAGGAUACACAAACUGAAAGAAGGAAUGAAGGACAAGAAUGGUGGACGUGAACAUUUAUGGAAGACAAGGUGGACGGACUGCAUAACAGAUGAAUUGAGCAUGAGAGGCUUGAGCUGAGGAGAGAUGACAGACCCUUGUGGAUGAAAGUGGAGAGGUUAAGGGACCAAAUAUGAAUGUGAAAAGAUGCACAAGAACAUAAAUGAUCACCACACCAUAGGUUAUUCAUAGGGAUUACCUUCUCUCACCACAGCCACCUAGAUAAAAAUGCCUAUGUGAGUGUACAUGCUCUCUCUCUCUCUCUCUCUCUCUCUCUCUCUCUCUCUCUCUCUCUCUCUCUCUCUCUCUCUCUCUCUCUCUCUCUCUCUCUCUCUCUCACACACACACCACAGACCCACAGUAUGUCCCCACAGUAUGUUUAUGACCCACAGUAUGUCCCCCACAGUCACUCUCUCUCUCUCUCUCUCUCUCUCUCUCUCUCUCUCACACACACACACACCACAGACCCACAGUAUGUCCCCCACAGUAUGUUUAUGAACCACAGUCACUUAUCAUGGUCUCUCUCUCUCUCUCUCUCUCUCUCUCUCUCUCUCUCUCUCUCUCUCUCUCUCUCUCUCUCUCUCCACAGCUCAUAGACUCACAGCAUGUCUCCUACAGUAUGUUGCAUGAACCACAGCUUCUCCACCUGAGAGAUCCUUACAAUCAUUGCUAAUAUUUUAUGUGAAUGAAUUAAUUAUACGAGUUACCAUACAUGUGAUAAUAAACUGCUAUCCUGUAGCCAAACAUAAACCUUUGAAUAAACCUAAGAA